rnacentral:rRNA from 1 species
GGGCUAAACCAUGCACCGAAGCUGCGGCAGCGACGCUUAUGCGUUGUUGGGUAGGGGAGCGUUCUGUAAGCCUGCGAAGGUGUGCUGUGAGGCAUGCUGGAGGUAUCAGAAGUGCGAAUGCUGACAUAAGUAACGAUAAAGCGGGUGAAAAGCCCGCUCGCCGGAAGACCAAGGGUUCCUGUCCAACGUUAAUCGGGGCAGGGUGAGUCGACCCCUAAGGCGAGGCCGAAAGGCGUAGUCGAUGGGAAACAGGUUAAUAUUCCUGUACUUGGUGUUACUGCGAAGGGG